rnacentral:rRNA from 1 species
GACGAACGCUGGCGGCGUGCUUAACACAUGCAAGUCGAACGGAAAGGCCCUGCUUUUGUGGGGUGCUCGAGUGGCGAACGGGUGAGAACACGUGAGUAACCUGCCCUUGACUUUGGGAUAACUUCAGGAAACUGGGGCUAAUACCGGAUAGGAGCUCCUGCUGCAUGGUGGGGGGUGGAAAGUUUCGGCGGUUGGGGAUGGACUCGCGGCUUAUCAGCUUGUUGGUGGGGUAGUGGCUUACCAAGGCUUUGACGGGUAGCCGGCCUGAGAGGGUGACCGGCCACAUUGGGACUGAGAUACGGCCCAGACUCCUACGGGAGGCAGCAGUGGGGAAUAUUGCACAAUGGGCGGAAGCCUGAUGCAGCAACGCCGCGUGCGGGAUGACGGCCUUCGGGUUGUAAACCGCUUUCGCCUGUGACGAAGCGUGAGUGACGGUAAUGGGUAAAGAAGCACCGGCUAACUACGUG